UACAGAGGUCCCAAGCGUUGUUCGGAUUUACUGGGCGUAAAGGGUGCGUAGGUGGUCGGGUAAGUCUCAUGUGAAAUCUCCAAGCUUAACCUGGGAACUGCAUUUGUGACUGCAUGGCUGGAGUGCGGCAGAGGGGGAUGGAAUUCCGCGUGUAGCAGUGAAAUGCGUAGAUAUGCGGAGGAACACCGAUGGCGAAGGCAAUCCCCUGGGCCUGCACUGACGCUCAUGCACGAAAGCGUGGGGAGCAAACAGG
rnacentral:rRNA from 1 species